GGACUACUAGUAAUUUAGCUACUCAAAAUUUGUAUGAAUUAAUGAAUUAAUUUCAAUUAAAGUUGAAAAUAUAAUUGUACGUCUAACAUACCAACCUGGUCAAAGAGCAUUUCGUAUGAUUAUGUAUGUAAAUCCCUGAUACUCCUUUUAGUAUGAUAUGUUACAUUUCGUAUGGUAUGUAUUAAUUUGUGGAUGUCCAUCACCCAUUUCAUGUACUUUGUUCAUAUUAUAUGUUAUGAAUUUUCUAAAUUCAAAAUAGGUUACGAAUUUACAAAACACGUUACGAAUUUACAAAAACGUGAUAUUUUAUGAAUUCUAGUAAAGUGGCUAGGUGGCUAAUGUUAGCAAGCGGGCUAACGUUAGCUAGCUGGCUAAUGUUAGCUAGGCUAGGGCUUAGGGUUAGGGUUAAGUUUAGGAGUUAGGUUAAAGGUUUAAGGUUAAGGUUAAGGGAAGGGUUAGCUAAAAGGGUUAAGGUUAGGGUUAUGAUUAGGGUUAUCUAACAUGCUAAGUAGUAGCAAAGUAGCUAUAAGGUAGUAAGUAGUUGAAAAGUUGCUAAUUAGCUAAAAUAGUAAGGUUGACCGUGAUGAGAUUCAAACUCACAAACUUUGGGAUGCUAGACGUUUGCGCUAAAUGCCUACUGAUCCACCCUGACCCACCACCCAUAGGCCCACCCCAACCAACCACCCUACUUUCCUUUUUGCCUUAAGUAACCAUCUGUCUUAUGUAACCAUACCAACCAUAACAUAUGAUACUAAUUUGAAUGUCAGGGAUUUAAGUUUACUAUGUUAAGUCUAGUCUAUGAGACCAGGCUGAAGAUAUGGAUGAUCCCAUAUGCCCAUGUCCCAGGAAAGGGGAAAGGAUGACUGAAAAGAGUUCUGUAUUAUCUGUUUGACUGAUGGUCUGUCUAGACAGUGUCUCCUACAAUAUCGGUGCUGUUUGAUCAAAUCUCAACCUUCCAGUAGACUUUAGAGGUCUGCAGUUCAACUUUAUUUCAUCCAUAACCAGGGAUGAAAUAAAACCAGGAGUUUCCUUGAGUGGACCUCAAGGCCCGAGUUUGAAUACAUAGUUGGGUAUGAACGUUUAUCUUAGUUUUUACAAUUUAAUUAGUUGUUUUACUUUGUGCAGGUAUUGCCAUAUUCUGAAAAUAAUGACGAUAUACUGUAACUACAGUAGAUCUGAUACAACAAAACAAAUAUAGUUUAUUUAGUUAACAUUUCACUCUUCUUCGGUUUUAAAAUUACUGUAACAUGAGGUCAAAUAAUUUUCAUGGGAUGAUGCACUUUAUCUAUUGAACUAAUAUCAGUAUUUAGAAUUUUGACCAAGUCCCCCCUCCAUAGUUUAAUAUGAUCAGUCAUAAAAUGCAUGGUUACCAUAUUAGGACAGCCUGGUCCCUCUGUGACUGAGGCUGUCCUAAUAUGGACUCCGUAAUGUUUGCUUUUGUGACAUUAUCUCUUGAUACCUGCCAUGAAAAUGUAACUUUUGAUGCAGUUUACUGUCUGAUUUGUUGUAGUAACUGAAUUCCAAUGCUUUUGGUGCUCAUUUUGUCAUAACAUGUAAUGUAUCAUAUAUACUGCAGUUAAUUUAUUCAAGGUUACCAUGUGCAAUGCUUUUUAUAUUGAUUAAACAUAAAACAAACACAUUUUCACCCAUUACAGUAAGUCACUAGCUAGGGUAUGCACUAGAAAAAAGGUCUACCUAGAACCACGGUUUAUUUGGCUGUUCCUGUAGCUUGGUUAACCCUUUUUGGUUCCAGGUCAAAAGAGAGAAACACAGAGAAACACAGCAACUGUGAACUCUGCUGUCACCAGCUAUAGGCAUGGGUGGGAAAGACACAUGAGAAAGAGAGAGGGAGAGAAAGAGAUGGUGGGGGUAGAGAGAAAGAUAUGGAGAACAAUGCCUUGACAUUGGCAGGGAGAAAGAAAAUGAGAAAUAGAUAGAGGAUAAGCCUUGACGUGGGCAACACAUCCACCCUGGCCACUGCUGCGGAGGCCGCAGGGCUGGCAUACUGAGGCCGCAGGGCUGGUAUACUGAGACCGCAGGGCUGGCAUACUGAGACCGCAGGGCUGGCAUACAGAGGCCGCAGGGCUGGCAUACUGAGACCGCAGGGCUGGCAUACUGAGACCGCAGGGCUGGCAUACUGAGACGCAGGGCUGGCAUGCUGAGACCGCAGCAUGCUGAGACCGUACAAUGCUGUAACUCCAUUUUAAGUCAUCCAUGUUUGUGGCUUUUUUACGCCAUAGAUGUUGACUGGUAGAUGGAUCUGUUUGUGUUUUAUCCUUCUCCUUUGUCUUUUGCGUGAGUUGGCUAAAACAGAAACAAAUCUGGCGCAAAGCUCCAUGUUCACUGCACCAUUAUGGCCUUUUGAUGUGUUUGAAUGACCAACCAUCCUCAAGUCUAGAUGCUGUCAGCAGCAGCAAUGGACAUUUUCCAGGAUUAUAUAAUAUACCGUAGUCGGCUGUUAACAGUACAGUUCCUUAAUGAAUAUCUUUAGCAGAUCCCUUUGGUUCCCUCGGCCCACUCAUUCACAUUUCGUUAUUAGGGGCUUCAGUUAAUAUCGUCUUCAACAACAUUUUAUAUCACAACACCUACAUGUUAUUAUGAAACAGUGUUAAGUUAACCCACAACUUCCUUACACACACGCACAUAUGCACACAUACAUGCUCGCACAAAUGUAGGCAUGCACGUACGCACACAAACACCCCCCCCCCACACACAC
rnacentral:lncRNA from 1 species